rnacentral:tRNA from 1 species
GACCCGCGUGGGCGGGAGGCGGUCCGCAAAACCGCCGGCGGCCGGUUCGAGUCCGGCCCGGGUCU